GACAUUUUGCUUUUCAUUCUCAUUUAGCCCAGAAGGUUGAUAUGGAGGCAAAUGCAGCUUCUCCAAAGCCCAAUUUUUCUGAAGUUGGAUCCCAGGGAAUAAUCUCGGAAAGACGGGCCAGGCGCGUCCUCUGGGCCCACGGAUGUGGGGACAUCGGCGCCACAUUAGAGAGUCAGGAAAGAGAUCCAGUAGGAAAGAUGGACAGCUUGCACGGAAUCCAGACUUUGGGCAACGGAGGCGGGGCUUUGUAAGUUUGGAGCCACAACCCGGGGGGUGCCGGAGGCCCAGAACACGGUCCUGUUAUUAACGCCAGUGGCUCUGGGAGCUCCUCAGGGUUCAGCUCAUUCUUCUCAUCUGACAGAUGAGGAAGCUUCAUCAGGUCAAUCCCACAACUCUGAAGCUGGACCUGGGGCCCCUGACUUCAGACACCUCCAUAUCCCUGCCAUCCCUGCACCUGACUAGUAGAGAAUGACCAAAGAUUGCUGAGGAGCAGGGAGAGACAGGGUUCAAACUGGAUGUGGCUGAGAGUGGCGGGAUGGUCUGAAAUGAACGGAUCAGAGAAUGAACGAAGUUGGGAAGAUCUGGUUGGAAGAGGCAGUCUGACGAGAUUGGGAUAGAGGGCACAGAACGUCAGUGUAGGGGGAAUCUGCAAAUAAUCUGUGUGUGGCCUGCAGCUGCCCUCCAUUGCUCCUGCCUCCAAGGGGAGAUCAGCCUUUCCGUUAGGCCCUUCCCAUUCACCUCACACCCCAUCUGCUCCCUGGGGCAGACUCAGAUACUUGGAGACAACCACGACAUCACUCCCAAGUCCCCCUAGACCAAAUGCCCCUAGUUCCCUCAGCCACAAAGUCCCUAGUUUUUAGCCCACCUGCCAUCCUUGAGACUCUUCUUUUUAUUUAUUUAUUUAUUUUUUAUUUAAUAGCCUUUUAUUUACAGGUUAUAU
rnacentral:lncRNA from 1 species